rnacentral:rRNA from 1 species
AGUGAACGCUGGCGGUAGGCCUAACACAUGCAAGUCGAACGGCAGCACAGUAAGAGCUUGCUCUUACGGGUGGCGAGUGGCGGACGGGUGAGGAAUACAUCGGAAUCUACUUUUUCGUGGGGGAUAACGUAGGGAAACUUACGCUAAUACCGCAUACGACCUACGGGUGAAAGCAGGGGAUCUUCGGACCUUGCGCGAUUGAAUGAGCCGAUGUCGGAUUAGCUAGUUGGCGGGGUAAAGGGCCACCAAGGCGACGAUCCGUAGCUGGUCUGAGAGGAUGGUCAGCCACACUGGAACUGAGACACGGUACCGACUCCUACGGGAGGCAGCAGUGGGGAAUAUUGGACAAUGGGCGCAAGCCUGAUCCAGCCAUACCGCGUGGGUGAAGAAGGCCUUCGGGUUGUAAAGCCCUUUUGUUGGGAAAGAAAAGCAGCAGGUUAAUACCCCGCUGUUCUGACGGUACCCAAAGAAUAAGCACCGGCUAACUUCGUG